CAGUCGCCGCGGUAAAACGAACCGUGCAAAUGUUACUCGGAAUCACUGGGCUUAAAGCGCACGUAGGCGGCGACAUAAGUUAGAGGUGAAAUCCCAUCGGCUCAACCGUGGAACUGCCUCUAAUACAGUGUUGCUUGAGGGAGAACGGGGCAUUCGGAACUUCCGGUGGAGCGGUGAAAUGUGUUGAUAUCGGAAGGAACGCCGGUGGCGAAAGCGGAAUGCUGGGUCUCUUCUGACGCUGAGGUGCGAAAGCUAGGGUAGCGAACGGGAUUAGAUACCCCAGUAGUCCCUGUCUCUUAUA
rnacentral:rRNA from 1 species